CAUCCAAGGAAGGCAGCAGGCGCGCAAAUUACCCAAUCCCGAUACGGGGAGGUAGUGACAAUAAAUAUUGAUACGGGGCUCUUUUGGGUCUCGUAAUUGGAAUGAGAACAAUUUAAAUCCCUUAACGAGGAACAAUUGGAGGGCAAGUCUGGUGCCAGCAGCCGCGGUAAUUCCAGCUCCAAUAGCGUAUAUUAAAGUUGUUGCAGUUAAAAAGCUCGUAGUUGAACCUUGGGUCUGGCUGGCCGGUCCGCCUCACCGCGAGUACUGGUCCGGCUGGACCUUUCCUUCUGGGGAACCUCAUGGCCUUCACUGGCUGUGGGGGGAACCAGGACUUUUACUGUGAAAAAAUUAGAGUGUUCAAAGCAGGCCUUUGCUCGAAUACAUUAGCAUGGAAUAAUAGAAUAGGACGUGCGGUUCUAUUUUGUUGGUUUCUAGGACCGCCGUAAUGAUUAAUAGGGAUAGUCGGGGGCGUCAGUAUUCAGCUGUCAGAGGUGAAAUUCUUGGAUUUGCUGAAGACUAACUACUGCGAAAGCAUUCGCCAAGGAUGUUUUCAUUAAUCAGGGAACGAAAGUUAGGGGAUCGAAGACGAUCAGAUACCGUCGUAGUCUUAACCAUAAACUAUGCCGACUAGGGAUCGGACGGGCUUCUAUGAUGACCCGUUCGGCACCUUACGAGAAAUCAAAGUUUUUGGGUUCUGGGGGGAGUAUGGUCGCAAGGC
rnacentral:rRNA from 1 species